AGAGUUUGAUCAUGGCUCAGAGCGAACGCUGGCGGCAGGCUUAACACAUGCAAGUCGAGCGGGUGUAGCAAUACAUCAGCGGCAGACGGGUGAGUAACGCGUGGGAACGUACCUUUUGGUUCGGAACAACCCAGGGAAACUUGGGCUAAUACCGGAUAAGCCCUUACGGGGAAAGAUUUAUCGCCGAAAGAUCGGCCCGCGUCUGAUUAGCUAGUUGGUGAGGUAAUGGCUCACCAAGGCGACGAUCAGUAGCUGGUCUGAGAGGAUGAUCAGCCACAUUGGGACUGAGACACGGCCCAAACUCCUACGGGAGGCAGCAGUGGGGAAUAUUGGACAAUGGGGGCAACCCUGAUCCAGCCAUGCCGCGUGAGUGAUGAAGGCCCUAGGGUUGUAAAGCUCUUUUGUGCGGGAAGAUAAUGACGGUACCGCAAGAAUAAGCCCCGGCUAACUUCGUGCCAGCAGCCGCGGUAAUACGAAGGGGGCUAGCGUUGCUCGGAAUCACUGGGCGUAAAGGGUGCGUAGGCGGGUCUUUAAGUCAGGGGUGAAAUCCUGGAGCUCAACUCCAGAACUGCCUUUGAUACUGAGGAUCUUGAGUCCGGGAGAGGUGAGUGGAACUGCGAGUGUAGAGGUGAAAUUCGUAGAUAUUCGCAAGAACACCAGUGGCGAAGGCGGCUCACUGGCCCGGGUACUGACGCUGAGGCACGAAAGCGUGGGGAGCAAACAGGAUUAGAUACCCUAGUAGUCC
rnacentral:rRNA from 1 species